rnacentral:rRNA from 1 species
GAGAGUUAAACAGUACGUGAAAUUGUUGAAAGGGAAACGAUUGAAGUCAGUCAUGCUAGUGAAAAUUCAGUUUGACGGGUUUUGGGUUUAGGAGUAAGAGAUAGGGUCAAACCGUCUCUCUUUUAAACUUGGGAUUUGUCGGAUGCACUUUUUCUUUGGCAGGUCAGCGUCGAUUUCGGGGGUUGUAAAAUACUUGGGGGAAAGUAGCUCUGCUUCGGGAGAGUGUUAUAGACCCUGGGGGAUGCAGCUUGCGGGAUCGAGGAUUGCAGCAAAUGCCUUUGGCUUGUCGUCUGAUCUUUGGUUGUUACCUCGUUUAUGACAACAUUCUUGUCAUCGAUGAGUUCUAAUGGUUAUGGGUUAGAACGAUCAAAAAUUUGCUAAGGAUGCUGACGUAAUGGCUUUAAACGA